rnacentral:sRNA from 12 species
UCCACCGACUAAUGGGCAACUAAUCUUACCAACAUCAACGUCGCUGAACUAAAACUGCGUAAGCGGUGGAAUACUUAAAGAAACAUUGGCGCUAUACAAUGUGGUGAAAACCUGCAAAGUAUAUAAGGUCAAAAAAUUUAGGCAAAAACUGUUAGUGAUAGCGCACUAGCAGUUUUUU